GACGAACGCUGGCGGCGUGCCUAAUACAUGCAAGUUGAGCGCUGAAGGUUGGUACUUGUACCAACUGGAUGAGCAGCGAACGGGUGAGUAACGCGUGGGGAAUCUGCCUUUUAGCGGGGGACAACUUUUGGAAACGAAUGCUAAUACCGCAUAAAAACUUUAAACACAAGUUUUAAGUUUGAAAGAUGCAAUUGCAUCACUCAAAGAUGAUCCCGCGUUGUAUUAGCUAGUUGGUGAGGUAAAGGCUCACCAAGGCGAUGAUACAUAGCCGACCUGAGAGGGUGAUCGGCCACAUUGGGGAUGAGAAAAGGCCCAAACUCCUACGGGAGGCAGCAGUAGGGAAACUUCGGAAAUGGACGAAAGUCUGAACGAGCAACGCCGCGUGAGUGAAGAAGGUUUUCGGAUCGUAAAACUCUGUUGGUAGAGAAGAACGUUGGUGAGAGUGGAAAGCUCAUCAAGUGACGGUAACUACCCAGAAAGGGACGGCUAACUACGUG
rnacentral:rRNA from 1 species